rnacentral:rRNA from 1 species
ACGAACGCUGGCGGCAUGCCUCACACCUGUAAGUCGAACGAGACCUUCGGGUCUAGUGGCGCACGGGUGCGUAACGCGUGGGAACCUGCCCUUAGGUUCGGAAUAACUCCCCGAAAGGGGUGCUAAUACCGGAUAAUGUCCUCGGACCAAAGAUUUAUCGCCUUUGGAUGGGCCCGCGUUGGAUUAGCUAGUUGGUAGGGUAAAAGCCUACCAAGGCGACGAUCCAUAGCUGGUCUGAGAGGAUGAUCAGCCACACUGGGACUGAGACACGGCCCAGACCCCUACGGGAGGCAGCAGUGGGGAAUAUUGGACAAUGGGCGAAAGCCUGAUCCAGCAAUGCCGCGUGAGUGAUGAAGGCCUUAGGGUUGUAAAGCUCUUUUACCCGGGAUGAUAAUGACAGUACCGGGAGAAUAAGCUCCGGCUAACUCCGUG